rnacentral:ncRNA from 1 species
AAUGGGCGGGACAAAGGGUCGCGAUCUCGCGAGGGUGAGCUAACUCCAAAAACCCAUCCUAAGUUCGGAUUACAGGCUACAACUCGCCUGCAUGAAG